rnacentral:rRNA from 1 species
CCUACGGGUGGCAGCAGUAGGGAAUAUUGCACAAUGGGGGAAACCCUGAUGCAGCGACGCCGCGUGGAGGAUGAAGGUUUUCGGAUUGUAAAGUCCUUUUAUGAGGGAAGAAAAUGACGGUAUCUAACGAAUAAGCACCGGCUAACUCCGUGCCAGCAGCCGCGGUAAUACGGAGGGUGCAAGCGUUACUCGGAAUUACUGGGCGUAAAGAGAGCGUAGGCGGGAUUGUAAGUCAGGUGUGAAAUCCUAUGGCUUAACCAUAGAACUGCAUUUGAAACUGUGAAGCUAGAGUGUGGGAGAGGUAGGUGGAAUUCCUGGUGUAGGGGUAAAAUGCGUAGAUAUCAAGAGGAAUACUCAUGGCGAAGGCGACCUACUGGAACAUUACUGACGCUGAGGCACGAAAGCGUGGGGAGCAAACAGGAUUAGAUACCCGAGUAGUC